rnacentral:rRNA from 1 species
CAGGCUUAACACAUGCAAGUCGAGGGGCAGCAUGGUCUUAGCUUGCUAAGGCCGAUGGCGACCGGCGCACGGGUGAGUAACGCGUAUCCAACCUGCCUUACACUCUUGGACAGCCUUCUGAAAGGGAGAUUAAUACAAGAUGUUAUCAUGAGUAAGCAUUUUCACAUGAUUAAAGGUUUACCGGUGUAAGAUGGGGAUGCGUUCCAUUAGAUAGUAGGCGGGGUAACGGCCCACCUAGUCUUCGAUGGAUAGGGGUUCUGAGAGGAAGGUCCCCCACAUUGGAACUGAGACACGGUCCAAACUCCUACGGGAGGCAGCAGUGAGGAAUAUUGGUCAAUGGACGAGAGUCUGAACCAGCCAAGUAGCGUGAAGGAUGAAGGUUCUAUGGAUUGUAAACUUCUUUUAUACGGGAAUAAACGAAUCCACGUGUGGAUUUUUGCAUGUACCGUAUGAAUAAGGAUCGGCUAACUCCGUGCCAGCAGCCGCGGUAAUACGGAGGAUCCGAGCGUUAUCCGGAUUUAUUGGGUUUAAAGGGAGCGUAGAUGGGUUGUUAAGUCAGUUGUGAAAGUUUGCGGCUCAACCGUAAAAUUGCAAUUGGUACUGGCAGUCUUGAGUACAGUUGAGGUAGGCGGAAUUCGUGGUGUAGCGGUGAAAUGCUUAGAUAUCACGAAGAACUCCGAUUGCGAAGGCAGCUUACUAACCUGUAACUGACAUUGAUGCUCGAAAGUGUGGGUAUCAAACAGGAUUAGAUACCCUGGUAGUCCACACGGUAAACGAUGAAUACUCGCUGUAGGCGAUAUACAGUCUGCGGCCAAGCGAAAGCAUUAAGUAUUCCACCUGGGGAGUACGCCGGCAACGGUGAAACUCAAAGGAAUUGACGGGGGCCCGCACAAGCGGAGGAACAUGUGGUUUAAUUCGAUGAUACGCGAGGAACCUUACCCGGGCUUAAAUUGCAACCGAAUAUGGCGGAAACGCUAUAGCUAGCAAUAGCGGUUGUGAAGGUGCUGCAUGGUUGUCGUCAGCUCGUGCCGUGAGGUGUCGGCUUAAGUGCCAUAACGAGCGCAACCCUUGCCGAUAGUUACUAACAGGUUAUGCUGAGGACUCUGUCGGGACUGCCAUCGUAAGAUGUGAGGAAGGUGGGGAUGACGUCAAAUCAGCACGGCCCUUACGUCCGGGGCUACACACGUGUUACAAUGGGGGGUACAGAGGGCUGCUACCACGCAAGUGGAUGCCAAUCCCAAAAACCUCUCUCAGUUCGGAUUGAAGUCUGCAACCCGACUUCAUGAAGCUGGAUUCGCUAGUAAUCGCGCAUCAGCCACGGCGCGGUGAAUACGUUCCCGGGCCUUGUACACACCGCCCGUCAAGCCAUGGGAGCCGGGGGUACCUGAAGUGCGUAACCGCAAGGAGCGCCCUAGGGUAAAACUGGUGACUGGGGCUAAGUCGU